rnacentral:rRNA from 1 species
CGCAAUGGGCGAAAGUCUGACGGAGCGACGCCGCGUGGAGGAUGAAGUUCUUCGGAAUGUAAACUCCUUUUGCCAGGGAAAAAGUUAUUGAUUGUACCUGGAGAAUAAGAAGUUGCUAAACUCGUGCCAGCAGCAGCGGUAAUACGAGUGCUUCGAGCGUUAUCCGGAAUCAUUGGGCGUAAAGGGUGUGUAGGCGGCGAUGUUAGUCUUAUGUUAAAUCUUUCGGCUCAACCGAGAGUCUGCAUGGGAAACGGCAUUGCUUAGAGGACGGAAGAGGUCACUGGAACUCAUGGUGUAGCGGUGAAAUGCGUUGAUAUCAUGGGGAACACCAAAAGCGAAGGCAAGUGACUGGUCCGCUCCUGACGCUGAAACACGAAAGCGU